rnacentral:rRNA from 1 species
UUAAGAAAAUUUUUAUAGUAAUAUAAUAAUAAAUAAAAAACUAUUAGAAAUAACCAAUAAAAAUAUCUUUGGUUGGGGCAACCACGAAGAAAAAAGAACCUUCGAAUAACAAAAGAAUAAACAAAUUUAAAAAUUAAAAAUAUAAAAGAUCCGGAACAUCCGAACAAAGGAAAAAGUUACCGUAGGGAUAACAGCGUUAUUCUCUUUAAGAGUUCAUAUUGACAAGAGAGUUUGCGACCUCGAUGUUGGACCGGGGCACCCCAGGGGUGCAGAAGCCCCUAAAGGUAGGUCUGUUCGACCUUAAAAGCCCUACGCGAUCUGAGUUCAGACCGACGCAAGU